rnacentral:rRNA from 1 species
UGAAGAUGAAAUGGAUUAGCGGCGGACUGGUGAGUAACACGUAAGCAACCUGCCUAUCAGAGGGGAACAACAGUUAGAAAUGACUGCUAAUACCGCAUAUGCCUAAGUACCACAUGGUUCAAAAGGGAAAGGAGCAAUCCGCUGAUAGAUGGGCUUGCGUCUGAUUAGCUAGUUGGUGGGGUAAUGGCCUACCAAGGCGACGAUCAGUAGCCGGACUGAGAGGUUGAACGGCCACAUUGGGACUGAGAUACGGCCCAGACUCC